UUCCUUUCAAAUUUCAAGUUUCAACCACCGCUACCACAGUUCUCCCGCACCUCAGCUCUCACCUGAUUCUAUUUCUUCUUCUUCUUCUUCUUCUUCCCUAAAACCCUCCAAUUUCCCCAAAAUCCCUCCCUUCCAAAUCCCCACUACCUCCUUCUCCCCCUUACAGAGUCAGAUUCCCCCAAAUCCUUCCAAGCCAACGGUCCAAAUUUUCAAUCUUUCCUCCAAGAAUUAGCCGACAUCUUUGAUCUUCCAAAUGACUACUUUGCGCAGCUUUCGAAUGAUCGCCGUCUCGAUGUGAUUACCAAAAAAUCGAUUUCGAGUGCACAGGUAGGCAAUAGUCCUUCUCUGCUUUAAAAGCCUCACUAAUUUAUCAUACGUACCGGUUCAAUUGAGUUGUGUUUUCUGCAAACGGAGGAUUUGUGCUAACUGAUGGACUUGGUAUUGCUUAGGGAGCAACAUGCCAGGACUUUACUUAUUAGUAAGUGUUAUCCAAUUUAUAACAUAGUGGGAUAAAUAUUGGAUGUCUGAUGAGCAAAAGAACAGAGGUAUCUUUGUCUUUUUAUUAUCGAGGACUCAAUGGCACUUGCUUCUAUAUUGAUUGGUCUUUGUACUCUAUCUUUCCAUUAUUUUGUUGGUUGGUCAUUGUGUGAAUUUAGUUCUUCAAGACUCCAAACAUUAAUGGAUCUCACAUAACUCUUUAUACAUGAUAAGCCUAUUGUAGGAGUAUGCAAGUGCAGAAAAUUAAUGGCGACGUGAAAGACUCGCUAAUUCAAAUGAUCCUUCGAUGGAAGGAACAUAAACACACGCACACACAAAUUAAGUGCUAUACAUGCAUAGGUACUCAUUUCUCUACACUUUUCGAAGAUCUUAUAAAUCUUUUCCCAUAUUUAUGCUUAUUGUUUCUCUCAAUGUACAAUUCAGCAGGUGGUGUAUAUUUCCGUCAACCUUUAUUCAUACUUGCAUGCUGAGAACUGUGGUAGAAGAUUACUGGUGAGAUGAGCAGUUCAAUAAUUCUACUCAUACGUUGCUCUUAACAUAUGUCAGUAUUAAUAUCGAUGAGCUUUCCCGUAGGGCACUCACAUUAUUCUGCCCUGCAUUUGUAUGUCAGAAUAUAAGUUCACUAUUGAUUAUCCACCAUUGUGUUAAGCAUUAGUAGAACCUAUCUGUCAUAUAGGAGAAAUAGAAGAUGCCAACGAAGGGGUCAGACAUGAAAAGUACAAGGAAGAACAGCGGAGAAAUGGAGGAUAUUAUGUUUAAUCGCUUUGAACAAAAACCAAAUCAGCCGUUACUGAUGGUAGUUGUAAACAAGAAUGUAAAAUGCCAUCAUUGGACACCUAAUAUGGUUGUAAAUAUGUAUCAAACUUUUUACAUGUUUUAUACGUUUUUAAAACCCGCAGCAACUUGCGGGCACUUAUACUAGUAUCAACUUAGCUUGAUAAAAGAUAUAUUUUAUAAUUAAGUUCGAUAAGAAUUCAAUUGAAGUUUUUGUUUUCUUGUACAAA